CAAAAACAUGUAAAGUAUAAUUAUGAAAUAGAUAACGAUUCCUCCAUCCUUUCUCUCCUGUGGUGUAAAAAAACCCCUCAGGAAACUCCGAUGAAGAGGAGAGGACACAGUUCGUCCUGUUUUCUGAAAAGCACCCCCUCUCCUUGCAUAGCUGAAGCAAACAAGAGCUUUGAUUUUGAAGACUGAAGCCUACUUAUUUUGCCAAGAAGUUGUGAGUGAGGUUGCUAUGCUCACACCCUCCUUGCAAAGCACACCCCUGGAGAAAGCAACAAAUAGAGGGAAAAAAAAAAAAACAGUCUUUCAGCGUGACGAACCAUGUGCUACAUAUCUGUGUGCUUGACCCAGUGCAAAAAUACGCACAGCCAGACUGUGUUUUGGCCUCAGCAUGGCUGGCUGCCUGGUCUGGGCUAUUUCAGUCUGAGAGCCUUCUGCAAAGCUGAGAACAGAAGUGGAGGAUGAAGAGGUAACUGACUGCCUGGACAACUACUGCGACUGGAGGCUGUGCUAGAGCUGUUCAGAAGAACUGCUUUCCAGCUCUGCUCAGCUAGACAAGAUGAGGAGAAUGGGAACAAAGUAGGAAUUUUCUCACCCAGAUCUGUAAGCUGUUUUCAGCAUUGCUGAUAUGCAAGCUGCUCUAGUUUUGUUCCAACACAGUACAGGUGUGUCAUGUUGAGAUGCAAUAUGACCUGCUGCUAUUGCCAGAGCAUUCUGGACUGUGGAUCAUGAGCAGACAGAGCUAUUUAACUUCAGUUUCACUCCUGCUUUCCUGGAUUUCAGGUGCCCUCCUGUCCUCUCCAUUUCCUUUUGCCAGUGAUUUGGGUUGCCUUAACUUUGAAAGCUGCCUCUGUGGUGACUGUGUGGUCUGGUGACAGCUGAGUGCAGUGCUACGGUGACCAGGAGCUCUGAGCGAGGCACCACAGGGCAGGAGGCUGACAGUCACCUACAGACACGCUCCCUCAAGAACAUGCAUGUCAACAUGCAGCUGCAAUUGAAAUGGAAGUACACCUGUGCGCGUCACCACUGGCUGCUGCAAGCUGUUUGAGCCCCUGUAACGCUGAUGAGGGGAUGUCUCUGUGCCUUCAUCACCGAGCUAUUAAAGGCAAGCAUUUUUUUUUUCUAUUGUAAUCCCAACAAAACACCUAAAGGUAGCCUCAAUAACAAUGAAGUUAGACAUUCAGUACAUUGGAAUAUUUUAUUUUCACUUUACAUGCGGUGUUAAAAACCCAAAGAACGUAUUAUUUACACAUCCACAAUACAAGUUUACAAGAUAUCUAUACAUGUUAAAGUACUCUAUAGUAUAGAGCAGCUUCAUUUAAGGGUUACUUUUUUAUGCCGUACCAUUAAAAAAGAUACAAUCUGCGUUUACCUUUGCACAAAUGGAUAAAGCAUCUUUUAUUAUUAAAUUAACAGAAUAAAGACUAGGUUGAAUGUUAGAAAUUUCAACAUAAAUACUGAGAGAACUCACAUUACCAUCUACAAGGCAGCACAAUGUUACAGGAGGUUAUCAGGGUUCACAUACAUUUAUCUUUCGAUUUCACACAAGUCUGUAUUAAUUAAUAUUUGUAAAGUGAAUUCAGAUCAGUUUUUGUCUUUUGACAACCAAGUACUUUUUAUGCUAUUAAUCUGUAGUGUUUUAGUUGCAAAACAGAAGUGUUUAGGAAGAGAGAUCAUUGAUUUUUGGAUCCAGAGGUCUCAGGAAAUAAAUGUCCCUUACAGCCUUACAAGAAAAAAUGACUACUUCUGUCCUUUAUUCUUUGUUCUGUAACAGAGAUCCAGUUUUCAGUGACUAACCUUUUCUCCCCUUCAAACACAUAACAUAAAUCUCCACCGUCUCUGAAACCCAUUGCAGUUAUUUGUCCCGCUAAUUCAUGAAUAUUCCUCUGCCAUGGUUAUUUCUAGUUAUGUUCAAUAAACAAUGCGGUAGUGUGUAGUUUGCGAGCUAAAAUAGCCAUCUGUGUUGAACAUCAGCUGCAAGUGGAUACUGUAAAACCUACUAAAUAGCUUACACAACUUUAGCAGGUGUUCCAUUACCCUAGAAACCUCAUUUGAUUUCACAUUAUAACUGUUUGAUCCUUCGGAGAGCUGGAGUGGAAUGUUUAUCAUGGCAAGGUGAUUUAAUGCUGCUGUCUUCUUGGAUUGUAGGCUGCCUUUAGUUACUAUUAAUUAUCCUUGCUUUUUAUUUUUUUGGGGGGGGGGGCGGGGGGUUGCUAUUGAGAGGUUUUACAACUGGCACUCAGGAGAUAUGUGCUAUAGUGAGAACACCUGACAGGUUUGUUGUUGUUGUUGUUGUUGUUUUUUUUUUUUUUUUUAGUACUUUUAUCAUUUGCAUGAAUAAGGC